UGGGGAAUAUUGCACAAUGGGCGCAAGCCUGAUGCAGCAACGCCGCGUGAGGGACGACGGCCUUCGGGUUGUAAACCUCUUUUAGUAGGGAAGAAGCGAAAAGUGACGGUACCUGCAGAAAAAGCACCGGCUAACUACGUGCCAGCAGCCGCGGUAAUACGUAGGGUGCGAGCGUUGUCCGGAAUUAUUGGGCGUAAAGAGCUCGUAGGCGGUCUGUCGCGUCUGCUGUGAAAACCCGAGGCUCAACCUCGGGCCUGCAGUGGGUACGGGCAGACUAGAGUGCGGUAGGGGAGAAUGGAAUUCCUGGUGUAGCGGUGGAAUGCGCAGAUAUCAGGAGGAACACCGAUGGCGAAGGCAGUUCUCUGGGCCGUAACUGACGCUGAGGAGCGAAAGCGUGGGGAGCGAACAGGAUUAGAUACCCUGGUAGUCCACGCCGUAAAACGUUGGGCGCUAGAUGUGGGGACCAUUCCACGGUUUCCGUGUCGCAGCUAACGCAUU
rnacentral:rRNA from 1 species